rnacentral:tRNA from 1 species
AGGGAUUUAGCUUAGUGGCCUAAGUGCCUGCCUGGCAAGCACAAGGUUGUGAGUUCAAUCCCUG